rnacentral:rRNA from 1 species
CCGAGUGCUUGCAGCUCAAUUGGAAAGAGGAGUGGCGGACGGGUGAGUAACACGUGGGUAACCUACCCAUCAGAGGGGGAUAACACUUGGAAACAGGUGCUAAUACCGCAUAACAGUUUAUGCCGCAUGGCAUAAGAGUGAAAGGCGCUUUCGGGUGUCGCUGAUGGAUGGACCCGCGGUGCAUUAGCUAGUUGGUGAGGUAACGGCUCACCAAGGCCACGAUGCAUAGCCGACCUGAGAGGGUGAUCGGCCACACUGGGACUGAGACACGGCCCAGACUCCUACGGGAGGCAGCAGUAGGGAAUCUUCGGCAAUGGACGAAAGUCUGACCGAGCAACGCCGCGUGAGUGAAGAAGGUUUUCGGAUCGUAAAACUCUGUUGUUAGAGAAGAACAAGGACGUUAGUAACUGAACGUCCCCUGACGGUAUCUAACCAGAAAGCCAGCGGCUAACUACGUGCCAGCGAGCCGCGGUAAUACGUAGGUGGCAAGCGUUGUCCGGAUUUAUUGGGCGUAAAGCGAGCGCANGCGGUUUCUUAAGUCUGAUGUGAAAGCC